GGAUGGAUCCGGGUCUCCUGGCUUCCUCUUGCUUUGAAGUGGAACUGAAGGAAUUGAUUGGCUCUAUUGAUAGAAACAUUUCUGCCUAGGUGCGGUAUAGAAUAAGAACAGUAAGGACUGAGAAAUAGCCCUGGCCCAAGUUCAAGAACAUGGGGAAGUGGAGAACCGUCUGGGAGCUGAACAGGAAGCAGUUUCAAUUGGAGAAAAGAU
rnacentral:lncRNA from 1 species